UUCUAACAAACUUAGUAACAGCCCUUGUCAAAAAAUAACCCACUUUCAUACCAAAACACACUUAAACCAACAUAAAACUGUGUUUUUUCUGAGUUUUUCUUAGCGGAAGUUGGUUUUUGCUAAUAAAAGUGAGUUUUAUGUGUGCUAAACUGUGCUUAACUGAGUUUAAAGUUGGUUAUUUUAAGAAGAUGUGUGUUUAAGCGAGUUUUUUUCUGUAAGAAGUCGGUUUUUUUGUGUGUCAAAAGUGAGCCUUUUUAUUUAUGAGUUGGUUUAUGUGUGUUUAAGUGUUUCUUUUUGUUUUAUAAGCGAGUCUUUUACAACAGAAGUUGGUCUUUUUUUUAACAGAAGUGGGUUUAAGCGAGUUUAACUUGGUCUUUUUGUAAAUAAGUUGAGAGCUGCAACGAGGCUUAAAGACUCACUUUAACACACUUUUCAACAAGUUGGUCUUUUGUUUAUUAAUAUAACUCAUCAAUGAAACAAUAAUUCUUCAACUGGGUCUUUGUUUGAUGUUUAUAGCCAUAAAUAAAACAAGUCAAUUGUAAAGGGGCUUUUUUUACAGCUUGUUUGCCAUUGUCCCUAUUGUACAUUUGUGUGCUCCCCAUAAUUUUUAGGGAAUAUUGGAUGAAAAUGGCUCUUUCAGAACAUCACAGGUUCACAGAUGGACAACAAGUAUCACUGACAAAAACUAUAACAAUGGUCAAGCUUAGUUUUAUACAUGAAAAUGAAAGAGUUUGUGUUUCACUUUGAAUUUUUAUCUUUAUGUUUGUUUUUAUUAUAAACAAUAUCUUAUGAUUGUUUUAUGUCUUAAUUUUUUAUUUUUUUUAAACAAUCUCAUAUGAUUGUUUAUAUUUGUUUAAAACAGUAUUUACUUGUUAAAUCUGCAUAUUUAAAUAAUUAUGGUAUUGGAAACAUUAUUUUGGAAAUAAUCUAUUUAUUUUUGUACAUAAGUUAUGCAAGAUUUUGAUAUUUGCAUAUGAUACCAUCAUAUCCAUUUUCUUAAUUUGCAAUAAAAUAAUAAAAUGCCAAACAUGACCUGUGUUACAUAAACUGUCAACAAAAUAACAAGACAAUACCUAAAAACACCCUUAUUUCACACCACUAACAAUAAACAGAUAACAAUCUGUCAGGCACUCAGAGCUAAACAGGGUACAGAUUAUCUAGGGGCAGAUAAGGCUACUGAUGGGGUUUGCCUAGAGAUAAGGCUGUGUGGAAUAAGAUAUAAGGCUUUUGAUUGGCUAUUGCACCGAGGAAGUUAUCUUUUUGAAAACAACAACUUUUGAAAAACAAGCUGGUGUCAGCAAUUGAAUAUUGAGCUAAAUUUAAUUCAGCAACAUUAAUAUAAAGAAGUGAAAGACUUAUAAUGGUAGUGUAAAAUGUCUUGAAAUUCUGUCAGCAUGAAGUAUUGUGUGAUGAAAACAAUGUGUUUUUUACUGCAAUGUGGAAAUCAAUAAUAAGUUGGUUGGAAAGGAGGUUGAACUGCCUGUUGUUGUUUUUGGAAUACUGAAGAACAGUUUUAACAGGUUAAACUCUUGCCACAAGGCAAAAUAGACAUUGAUGGGAAGAUCCUUUGGAAAGAAUGUGCAUCAUCGCCUGCCUGAUGUAUGGACUUUUAAACCUGGUUUUUAUCCUGCACAAGCUGGCAAACUUGAGGGGAUCAAGAGUGGGAAAACCUCGCCCUGUCCUUGACCAAGAAAGCUCGAUUUGUUGAGAGAUCAACUGGCAUAAGAGAUGCUCAAGAGGAGAAGGACACAAGCAGCAUCAAUGGUACAUGUCACUCCAGCGCCUGCUUUCCAGGUCUCUACCAGCUGCUUUCCAGGUCCCUCCACCAACCAAGAUCAGGUCUAGGUCCCUGCACUGGCUGCUUUCCAGGUCCCCUAGCGGUCAAGGUCUCUCCAGUAGCUGCUGUGCAGGUCCCAACACCGUAUGCCGUAGGUCCCUCCAUAAGCUGAAAUCCAGGUUCCUCAUUCCACUGCGGUUCAGGUACCUCCAACAGCUGAGAUCCAGGUCUCUGCAGCAGCUGCGGUCUAAAUACUCCACCCGCAGUGGUCCAUUGCGGUCAACCUUUUGCUUUAAAAUCUUCCAUAAAUGUCUAUUAUUGUAUAAUGUAUUGUAAAAAUAAUCUGUUUGUAUUAAUUUGCGGUGUACUAUUUUUGUCAUAUAAACAUAAUUUUUGUACACAUUGUGUUUUUUCCCUUUUAACCACAUGGGGCUUAUAAUGAACUGUUGUAAUUGCUUCACAAAAACCAUUUUUUCUAG